rnacentral:rRNA from 1 species
UACGUAGGGUCCGAGCGUUGUCCGGAAUUAUUGGGCGUAAAGGGCUCGUAGGCGGUUUGUCGCGUCGGGAGUGAAAACCCACAGCUUAACUGUGGGCUUGCUUUCGAUACGGGCAGACUUGAGGCAUGCAGGGGAGAACGGAAUUCCUGGUGUAGCGGUGAAAUGCGUAGAUAUUGGGAGGAACACCAGUGGCGAAGGCGGCUCACUGGACCGGUACUGACGCUGAGGCGCGAAAGCGUGGGGAGCAAACGGG